rnacentral:rRNA from 2 species
CUUAGUUGGGGGCGUUCGUAUGCAACUGUCAAGAGGUGAAAAUCUUGGAUUUAUUAAAGACGGACUA